GCCUGAACUUGGCAUUCCCCAGCAAGCCAGGAAGGAGGCAGGAUGGAAGAGUUCUCUGCAGCAGACUCUCUGCCCAGACCAUCCAACACAGCUUUUGCAAGGUUUUAUUCUGGGCAUCUCUUCCAAAGUUCCUGCAUCAACCAUACUGUCCAACUCAUGGCGAAUGCGAGCGACUAUAUUCUCAAAGUGCUGUGCAAAUGCGUCACAGCAUGCUACUGAAAUGAAAUCAGCAUAGUUAUAAUUAAUUAUUGAACUAUCA